rnacentral:rRNA from 1 species
CCUACGGGAGGCAGCAGUGGGGAAUAUUGCACAAUGGGGGAAACCCUGAUGCAGCAACGCCGCGUGAGUGAAGAAGUAUUUCGAUAUGUAAAGCUCUAUCAGCAGGGAAGAAGAUGACGGUACCUGAGUAAGAAGCCCCGGCUAACUACGUGCCAGCAGCCGCGGUAAUACGUAGGGGGCAAGCGUUAUCCGGAUUUACUGGGUGUAAAGGGAGCGUAGACGGCAUAGCAAGUCUGAAGUGAAAGCCCAAGGCUCAACCAUGGGACUGCUUUGGAAACUGUUAAGCUAGAGUGCUGGAGAGGUAA